rnacentral:rRNA from 1 species
CCUACGGGGGGCAGCAGUGGGGAAUUUUGCGCAAUGCUCGUAAGAGUAACGCAGCGACGCCGCGUGAAUGACGAAGGCCUUCGGGUCGUAAAGUUCUUUCGACAGGGAAGAAAAUGCCUAUAAGUAACUGUGUAUGUAUUGACGGUACCUGUAUAAGCAGCCCCGGCUAACUCCGUGCCAGCAGCCGCGGUAAUACGGAGGGGGCGAGCGUUGUUCGGAGUGACUGGGCGUAAAGAGCACGUAGGCGGUGUUGUAAGUCAUUAGGCAAAGACUAGAGCUCAACUUUAGUAAGGCUAGUGAAACUAUAAUACUUGAGUAUCAGAGAGGAUGGCAGAAUGCCUGGUGUAGCGGUGAAAUGCGUAGAUAUCAGGAGGAAUACCGUUAGCGAAGGCGGCAAUCUGGCUGGAAACUGACGCUGAGGUGCGAAAGCGUGGGUAGCAAACAGGAUUAGAUACCCUGGUAGUC